UACAGAGGGGGCAAGCGUUAUUCGGAAUUAUUGGGCGUAAAGGGCGCGUAGGCGGCCGCGCAAGUCUCGGGUGAAAUCCCCGGGCUCAACCCGGGAACUGCGUCCGAGACUGGAAGGCUCGAAUCCGGGAGAGGGAUGUGGAAUUCCAGGUGUAGCGGUGAAAUGCGUAGAUAUCUGGAGGAACACCGGUGGCGAAGGCGGCAUUCUGGACUACAACUGACACUGAGGAACGAAAGCCAGGGGAGCAAACGGG
rnacentral:rRNA from 1 species